GUGGUUUACUACAAGGGUACCUUAGCUUGUGCAGAAAGAAAGAAUUAGGUCACUGAAAAUACAUCGCAUCAGACGCAUAAUGACAUCGAUUAGUUUCAAUUUUGCCAGCACCAGCGGAUAGGUCGCGUGGCUGCGUCGAUUGCUUCACGUUGGUUCAAUAUGUAUAAGUAGGGAACGAUUGUCAAACAUCAUUCAGUAAUCAGAAAUAUAGUUUGUGUAAAAUUCAUUUGUUAAUUUUGUUCUUAUUCUUUCAAUUCAAUUAAUUGUGUCUAUAAUUACCAACAACCUUGAAGAAAGGUGUAAUGGAAGAGGCUCCCACUAUAGUCUGCAGGCCCAUCAAUGUUCAGAUAGGGAUUGUUACGUGUUUAUUCAUUUGAUUUUUAAUACGUUUUAUUAGUUCAUAUGGUUUUAGCUUUGAAUGCUUUAGAACACAUUCCCUAACUGGAUGCCAAUUUUAUUCCCUAACGUGCCUUAAUCAGAUUUCAGUUUGUUUAAUCCCUUUGAUUUUAGGUAUUUAUAACGUAACUCUGAUAUUAUGUUAAAAUUUGCAGAGAUUGAUACAAACGAUUUUUUUUUACAAAACAACCAACAUUCAAUGAAGCAGUUAAACUUAUUUUUUACAAACGAAUCUGCAAGUUGGUGAAACUGUGGAAAGGUAAGAGUUAGUUCAUAUUAUCUCACCCCUUCAACAUGUGGGAUGCCAUAAUUUUGAAAAAAAGGUGUAAUGGUGGAAGAGGCUCCCACUACAGUCUACAUAUAAGACAGGAACUGAAAGUCAACCAACUUCCUUCAAACAAACAGUAAACCAAGAGCAGAAUUUAAUCAAAGAAGAAAAGAAAACACAGAUUAAGGGCUGCAACUGUUGUGUUGAGAGAGGUCAGGAGGUACCAGAAGAGAAUUGAGCCUUUGAUCAGGAGAUUUCCAUUCUGCAGUGGCUGCUCUCCGGGUGGCAGCUGAAGCAUACCUUGUUGGACUCAUUGAGGACACUAAUCUGUGUUCCAUUCAAUGCUAAAAGAGUAACUAUCAUGCAUGCCUAAGGAUAUCCAGGUUGCACGUAGGAUUCAUGGUGGAGACUUUGAUUUGUAUGUUGAUCUGAACUAUUUUGGUGUUGUUUUCCUCGUAUCAAAUUAUAUUAAAUGAAAGAUUUUAAUUUAGUGUU
rnacentral:lncRNA from 1 species